UACGUAGGGUGCGAGCGUUAAUCGGAAUUACUGGGCGUAAAGCGUGCGCAGGCGGGUUUGUAAGUCAGAUGUGAAAGCCCCGGGCUCAACCUGGGAAUUGCAUUCGAGACUGAAUAGCUAGGGUACGGUAGAGGGAAGUGGAAUUUCCGGUGUAGCGGUGAAAUGCGCAGAUAUCAGGAGGAACACCGGUGGCGAAGGCGGGUCUCUGGGCCGUAACUGACGCUGAGGAGCGAAAGCGUGGGGAGCGAACAGG
rnacentral:rRNA from 1 species